rnacentral:tRNA from 1 species
GCCGAUGUAGCUCAGUUGGUAGAGCAGUGCUUUCGUAAAGCUCAGGUCGGAGGUUCAAAUCCUCUCAUCGGCUCCA